CAGACAUGGAGGCUGCUGUACUGCUCUGGUUUCAUCUGCUGCUGUCGGUGAUCUUCUGUAACGCCCAUCAACUUAUUUCCUGUGUUUGUGCGGUGGCUUUCAAUCUACCACUGGUGUAUCAUUUCCUGUCUCUCACACACCAAAGACGUAGACUAGUUUAGGAAGCAAACGAUAAGCGUGCAGAAGACCCCCUUACAAAGAAAUGAACAGUGUCAAGUUUUUAUGACUUCACCACAUGAAUGGGGCCAUGCACUAUAGAAUCUUGGAUGAGAAUCUCCAGGCCUCAGCCAGAAAACUGAAGAUGGGUGGUGGAUGAGUCUUCAAGCAUGACAAUGACCCAAAACAUACAGCCAAGGCAACAGUCUGACGGUCUUGUAGCCCAUUCCAGCCUGGUGCAGGUCUACAAUCUUGUCGCUGAUGUCCUUUGACAGCUCUUUGGUCUUCCCCUUGAUGGUGGAGAUGUUUGAAUGGAAGAGGUGGAUUCUGUGACUGGUGUCUUUUAUACACAUAAUGAGGUGAUAUUAGGAGAACUUUCCUGAAGGUACAGCACUAAUUUGGGAGUCAGAAUUCUUGCU